AGAAACAAAUGGAUGCGAUGCGAUUUUCUUUUCGUCCGUCAACGGUUCAUGCAUAGGAUGCAGAAAACUAAUCGACCUGUCAUCAGCAUUGGUGGCGUCAACAACAAACGUGUUCUAUCAGUUGGUGAAUGAAAACUUGUUGGAAUGGCACUACGGAAAGUCCAGAUACUUUUUGGAUGUCAGCAAAAGAAUGAACUACUCCGACGCAAAGGUUCACUGUCAGCUGUUUGGUGCGCACGUGGUGGUACCUGACAGCCAAGACGAACAGAAUUUCUUGAUCGAUCGCCUGUCAAACACA